AACAUUUAUUUAAAAUAAAAGUAUACGAUAGUCCUAAUUGUCAGUGUGCAGAAUACGGAGAUAUAGUACAUAUACUGUUUAAUUGUCAGCUGAACAGGCCCUGUGUACGUCAAAUAUCCUUUCCAUCCUUGGGAACAAGGGGAGAAAUAGUAAUAUAGUGACUGGGUACAUGACCUCCGGUCGAGCCCAAAUUGCCCUUCCAAUAAGGGUAACCUUGAAAGAAGAAGAAGAAGA